rnacentral:rRNA from 1 species
GACGAACCGUGCGAACGUUAUUCGGAAUCACUGGGCUUAAAGCGCGUGUAGGCGGGACGGCACGUCGGUCGCUGAAAGCCCCCGGCUCAACCGGGGAAGGGGCGCCGAUACGACCGACCUGGAGGGACGUAGGGGGACCUGGAACUUCCGGUGGAGCGGUGAAAUGCGUUGAGAUCGGAAGGAACGCCCGUGGCGAAAGCGGCUCACUGGACCGGAACUGACGCUGAGGCGCGAAAGCGUGGGGAGCAAACGGG